GUGGGGAAUCUUGCGCAAUGGGCGAAAGCCUGACGCAGCCAUGCCGCGUGAAUGAUGAAGGUCUUAGGAUUGUAAAAUUCUUUCACCGGGGACGAUAAUGACGGUACCCGGAGAAGAAGCCCCGGCUAACUUCGUGCCAGCAGCCGCGGUAAUACGAAGGGGGCUAGCGUUGCUCGGAAUUACUGGGCGUAAAGGGCGCGUAGGCGGACAGUUUAGUCAGAGGUGAAAGCCCAGGGCUCAACCUUGGAAUUGCCUUUGAUACUGGCUGUCUUGAGUACGGGAGAGGUGAGUGGAACUCCGAGUGUAGAGGUGAAAUUCGUAGAUAUUCGGAAGAACACCAGUGGCGAAGGCGACUCACUGGCCCGUUACUGACGCUGAGGCGCGAAAGCGUGGGGAGCAACCAGGAUUAGAUACCCCUGUAGUCC
rnacentral:rRNA from 1 species